AAUCACUUGUCUUUUAAAUGAAGACCUGUAUGAAUGGCAUCACGAGGGCUUAACUGUCUCCCCUCUCCAGUCAAUGAAAUUGACCUCCCCGUGCAGAGGCGGGGAUAUUUAUAUAAGACGAGAAGACCCUGUGGAGCUUUAGACCUAAAGUAAACCACGUUUAAUGUACUAGAAUUAAUAGCAAAAACUUAGUGGACAUUUAUUUAAGUGUCUUUGGUUGGGGCGACCGCGGAGUAAAACAUAACCUCCAUGUGGACAGGGAUACUUUCCCUAAAACUCAGAGCCUCCACUCCAAGCAACAGAAAUUCUGACCUUACUGAUCCGGUACAACCGAUUAACGAACCCAGUUACCCCAGGGAUAACAGCGCAAUCCCCUCUCAGAGCUCAUAUCGACGAGGGGGUUUACGACCUCGAUGUUGGAUCAGGACAUCCUAGUGGUGCAGCCGCUA
rnacentral:rRNA from 1 species